UACGUAGGGGGCAAGCGUUGUCCGGAUUAUUGGGCGUAAAGCGCGUGUAGGCGGCCUUGCAAGUCGGGUGUGAAAGCCCUCAGCUCAACUGAGGAAGUGCGCCCGAAACUGCAGAGCUUGGAGUGCCGGAGAGGAGGGUGGAAUUCUCGAAGUAGAGGUGAAAUUCGUAGAUAUCGGGAGGAACACCGGUGGCGAAGGCGACCCUCUGGACGGACACUGACGCUGAGACGCGAAAGCGUGGGUAGCAAACAGG
rnacentral:rRNA from 1 species